rnacentral:rRNA from 1 species
UACAGAGGUCUCAAGCGUUGUUCGGAUUCAUUGGGCGUAAAGGGUGUGUAGGUGGCGCCGUAAGUCGGGUGUGAAAUUUCGGAGCUUAACUCCGAAACUGCAUUCGAUACUGCGGUGCUUGAGGACUGGAGAGGAGACUGGAAUUUACGGUGUAGCGGUGAAAUGCGUAGAUAUCGUAAGGAAGACCAGUGGCGAAGGCGGGUCUCUGGACAGUUCCUGACGCUGAGGCACGAAGGCCAGGGAGCAAACGGG